UACAGAGGUCUCAACCGUUGUUCGGAUUCAUUGGGCGUAAAGGGUGCGUAGGCGGUCGCGCAAGUCGGAUGUGAAAUCUUAGGGCUCAACCCUGAAACUGCAUUCGAUACUGCGUGGCUCGAGUACUGGAGAGGAGACUGGAAUUUACGGUGUAGCAGUGAAAUGCGUAGAUAUCAGGAGGAACACCAGUGGCGAAGGCGCCGCUCUGGGCCGAGACUGACGCUGAGGAGCGAAAGCGUGGGUAGCAAACAGG
rnacentral:rRNA from 1 species